rnacentral:misc_RNA from 1 species
GGAGAUUGAUAUCAGGGGGCCGUGAAAGAGUGACUGGCCGAUUCAUCUCUCUCUCUAAUUCAUCAUGUAUCAGAGAACCUGAAUCCAUGGACAAAAGCGUAGAUGGAUGAUAGUUCUCCAUUGACAAGGAUGUGAGGAGUGCUUCCCCCAUUAUUUUUUUCCUUUUCCUUCCCUUUUGUUCUUCUUGCUUCUGGUUUGUCACUUGCAAGCCCACCACAGUUGCUACAAACUCAUCGUGAAUCAAAUAAAUACCCACAAAAAUCAGCAGAGCAUCCAAUCAAUCAACAAAACCAAACAAACAACUCAUAAAUCUCUUCAUUUUUAAAGGCCCAAAACUUCCCACCACAAUAAUUGGCAAAUACUCAUUAAUGAAUCCAGAUAACAGCAAAUGAUGGCAUCAAUAUCAUUGGU